rnacentral:rRNA from 1 species
GGUUUAUCGCCAAAGGAGUGGCCCGCGUUAGACUAGGUAGUUGGGGGGGUAAUGGCCUACCAAGCCUACGAUCUAUAGCUGGUUUUAGAGGAUGAUCAGCAACACUGGGACUGGGGACACGGCCCAGACUCCUACGGGAGGCAGCAGUGGGGAAUCUUGGACAAUGGGGGCAACCCUGAUCCAGCCAUGCCGCGUGAGUGAUGAAGGCCUUAGGGUCGUAAAGCUCUUUCGCCUGUGAAGAUAAUGACGGUAGCAGGUAAAGAAACCCCGGCUAACUCCGUGCCAGCAGCCGCGGUAAUACGGAGGGGGUUAGCGUUGUUCGGAAUUACUGGGCGUAAAGCGCACGUAGGCGGACUGGAAAGUUGGGGGUGAAAUCCCAGGGCUCAACCCUGGAACUGCCUCCAAAACUAUCAGUCUAGAGUUCGAGAGAGGUGAGUGGAAUUCCGAGUGUAGAGGUGAAAUUCGUAGAUAUUCGGAGGAACACCAGUGGCGAAGGCGGCUCACUGGCUCGAUACUGACGCUGAGGUGCGAAAGUGUGGGGAGCAAACAGGAUUAGAUACCCUGGUAGUCCACACC